rfam:Loxodonta africana unplaced genomic scaffold scaffold_2, whole genome shotgun sequence.
CAUUGUUCUGAUCAUUGGCAGAUCAGCUAUUAGGAAAGAAAAAAUCAGCCAAGUCCUUUGGCCCUGAUCAACUUUACACAGGAGCUACUAAUUUCAGCGACUUUGGCCUAACUCUCUCUGAAACAAUGAAUUUUACAAGUUAUAUCUUAGCUUUUCAGCUUUGCAUCAUU